CUUCCGAGGAGACCUACGUUUCUGCAAGUGGUCGAAUAAAGUUAAAGAAGGGAGCAGUACCAUCUAAAUUCCCGUGGAAUGAUUGGGACAAAGGAACAGGUGAGCAAUCUGCAAGGCGAGCAAGAAAACGCCUUGCAGCUGACAAUGAGAUGCCCGUUCCAGGGAGCAGCACAGAGGAUUGGUCACACCUUGAAGAGGAAGAACUGCUAAGCGGACCAAACUGACCAGCAUCAUAUCCACCAAGCAUGGCACAAUCACAG